GUCGUCUCUUUCUUCAUAAUUCCAGAGAGCUCGACCAAAUAAGACCCCUAACCUCACCCUUAAUCUGUGCACAAGGUUAUCCAACAAGAUUAUCGUCCGAGGCACGAAAUCAUGAAGCAAUAACACUAGAACGAUCCCCACGACGUAAGUAUCGCUAUAUAGCUUCUCUUUUUCUUUGUAGUUUGAGUUUUGGAAGGUAUUUUAAAGUUAAUAAAAAUGCCUUAUUUCUGGUUUCAAGCUCUUAAACAUCAAGUAAGAUUCAUUAAUUUAUUUCAUAAUAGAUAGAACUCAUGGGACGGUGAUCGGAAGCCGUGAGUUCGAGUUAUUUGAUUUGUAAUGGACUGUUUUGUGGGCUGUUUCGUGUAGCUUUUGGGCUGUAUAUUUUUCUGCUAUUUAAUGGAGUUUUUGGAAGAUAAAUUGUGUGGAGAAACACCACCUAAUGGCGAAAUAAUGGAUUAGUCAUUCUUUGUAAUAUUUUUGGGGCGUUGGACACUACUAUAGUCGUCGUUUUUUGUAUGAAUUGAUUGAGGUAUCUUGGGCUGUUGUAAUCUAAAUAUAACAUGGAUUUCGACUUGCAUUCACUGUAGCAGGUAAUUAUAUUGUGUUCCUACAGGCGCUUAAGGUUAUCUUGGCAUUUAUUAAGUUAAAUGGAUGAACUAGACAUGAACUAGUGUAUAAAGUUGCUAAUUAAGAAUAUUUGGAGUUGUGGAUCAUUUUCUUUUUUAUGGAUAUAUGGUAUAAGGCUGAAUAUUGAUGAAUGACUUCAUAUUCAUGUUAAUNAUACUNNNNNNNNNNNNNNNNNNNNNNNNNGGAGGCUCUUGUUUUAGGGGAGAUGCUGGCCGAAUUUAUAUAAACGAACUACAAGUUUAAGUUGCAGACUUAUCCUUUAUUCAACACUGAUUUUGAAUCUCCUUAUGCAACGGUAGAUUGAGUUGAGUUGUUUGAAGAGUAGCUUGGGAGGUAUUAAGGACUCACCAUGGUUAAGGUAUGUUAAGGCACUUCCCUCUUUCUUUUGGCAUGAUCUAAAGUGAAAUGAAUACUCUAUUUCAUAACGGAUCUACUCCUAGAAACUAAGGUUGCCCAUGUUGUUCUUUCCUUAUAAGUUAUUCUAAGCAAGUAUGUAUGAUCCUUGAAUCCUGUAGAAGCUCAUAUUGAUGGUAUGAUACCUUCGCGCUGACCGUUCGCUUUCUCAGUAGCAAAAGCGCUUCUCUUUGCCCCUUAACCUUAAGUAGAAGGACAAGAAAGAGAUUAUUGAUUUUCUUGCUCCCGCUUCCUCAUAUGCGCUCAUCAAGCCAACUUUGCUCUUUGGGAGGUGAAACAGCGGUUAAAGCGGACAUUUCAAAAUGACAGCAUCGAAGAUAUAUUUCUAUAUAUACACGGUUAUAGCUAUCUCGGACUGCGAUGUCCAUAAUGUUAAUCGAAAGUGCAACGACCUUAAGUCACUCCAAAAGGUUUAGAACGUGACUCCAUGAGUCUAGUAUGCACUAUAUAUAGUAUCUAUUUUACUCUACAGAGUCGCGCUAUAGUAGGCCGGAUACUGCACCUAUUGUGCAGCCAUUGAUCAGUUGGAUUUAUCGAGCUCCAUGUGGCCGGGUACGAUUCUACCGAGCCUUAUGUUGUCCGGGUACAUUUUUACCGAGUCCUCUUUGAUGCUGGGUACGAUAUGAUGAUGAUAAUGCCUAUGGAGGCGGAUGUUUUUAAAAGUUUAUGUAUAUAUAUGUAUUAUUCAUCUUAAGUCAGCAGCCCCCAGAGGCACACAGAUGUUACAGAUUGUAUCUCCUCUAUCUCUAUUUAUAUUACUGUUCUUGUUUAUGUUUUCCUGCCUUACAUACUCGGUACUUUAUUUGUACUGACAUCCCUUUUGCCUAGGGACGCUGCCUUUUAUGCCUUCAAGUCCCAAUUGAUAGGUUGACAUUCCUCCUAGUAGGCUAUAAGCUCAGUGGAGGUGUUGGUGCACUCCACUUGUUCCGGAGUUGCCUAUUUGGUCAGUAUGCUUUGGAUAUGUAUUGAUUGAUAUGACGGGGCCCUGUCCCGACCUUUAUGAUUUUAUGUACUCUUAAAGGCUUAUUGACAGAUGUCAGGUUUAUGGAUACUUGUAUGGCCUUGUUGGCCUAAGUGUUGAGUUUACAAAUGGUCAUGUCGUCCUUAUAGGUCUGUAUGUCACAUGUAUGAGUUUCUACAUCAUAUUGGGUUGUCCUAUGUCUAGUAUUCCUUUAUGUUUAUUCUGGUUAUCUCAUGACGACCCUUUUGGCCCAUUUAUCCAUGAUAGUAUUAUAAGAAAUUAAAAGUUACGUUGGUACUCGGUUGAGUAAGGUACCGGGUGCCCGUCAUGGCCCUCCUAUUUUGGUCGUGACAAAAAUACCGAAAAUUUAAAAAUCAUAUAGGAGACUAGGAGUGUAGACUGGCCAGCGCCCCAGCCCAAGUGCUGACCCAAAAGCUAAAAUUUUAAUUUUUGGAGCCCAACCCAAUAACCCAAAAGUCUUUCACUUUCUUAAUUCAUACCCUAAGUCCUAACAUCUGAGAAACCUAAGAACUAAGAAGUAAAAACGACUGAGAGAGUGAGAAACCUAAGUAUGAACAAACGACUCGCAUGUGAGAUCACUGUCCGUCGUCUGCUGUCGCCACUCACCAGUGAGAUUGCCAGAUUGGCUGUCCGGCGUCCGCUCUCUGCUGUCAACUCUUCAAAUCAAGACUUCAAUAGGUUCAUAACUUUUCAAUUUUUUAUUCUUCAAUCUUCAUUUUUCUAAUUUGUCUCGAGAAACUCUCAUUUUAUGAUCUAAGUUUUGAAGUUUAGAUAGAACUAAUGUCCAUUUUCUCGGAUGCUCUGCGAAGUUUUGAAGUUUUGUAUUAUCGAUUUUUUUAUUGCUUUGAGGUGGCUGUGUUUUUUUUUGCUCUGUGAGUGGAACAGAUGAGCUCAUCCAUGCUCUUUCUCCAAGAUAUGCUUCUAGUAGUAUAUUAUAGUUCUAUCUUGCGUUCGAGGGAAUUUAGAUAUUUAGUAAUUGGAAGACUUGGAGGAUUUUAUGAUGUUGAUUAGUAAUGAAAUUGAUUUUCUCUGUUUGUGACUCGUCUCUGUGGACGCUUGCUGAAGUUACUUGUUACUAUGAAUUAGUUGGUGAUGUAUUAAGGGAAAAUUAAUUGUAAUUUGAGAUUUUUGUUAAAAAUGAUCAAUUUGUUUGUUUUUGUGGUGUGAGUGGUCUGGCUAGUUCUUUCACUGAAGACCAUCAGUGGCUAGUUUGGUCUUUCGAUGGAAUGUUAUGGCAGUAAGCCCGUUGGUAUUUGUUAUUGGUGUGAUAUUGCAUUUUUCAAAUUUAAAACAUACCAAAUAUGGAGGAAUAUUACUGUAAUAUGACACACAAUCUCCACAUUAUGUGGUCCCUAGACUAGUUAUAGAAACUCAUUGAACUGCUAAUGUCCUAUUCUCUAACUUUGCUGUUAGUUGCUGCAAGACCUAAAGCUUGUUGAUUCUUAAUUUGUGUUUAUAUUUGUUUAAUUUUGUAUAGAUGGCAGAUGAAAGUAGAGUAAGUAAUGCUGGUUCAAGUGAAUUGUGUUUAUUUGUGAGUUAGGAAAAAUUGGCAGCUUUGAAUUGUGCACAGUUGUACAAAAUUGUGCAAUGUGCACUUUUAAUCGCUAAAUAAGCACUGUACACUUUUAAUGUGCAAUGUGCACUUUUAAUCGUUGUGUACAGUGCAUUGUUGUACAAAAUUGCGCACUCGUUAAUCGUUAUUGCACUUGCUUUAGAGUUUGAAUUGUGCACUAGCACACUUUCACUCGUAAGUGUUGCCUUGAAUUGUGCACUGUUGCUUACUGCUUAGUAUUGAAUAUAGCGAUUAUUGUCACUCGUUAGCAUUGCUUACUUAGCGAUUAUUAAAUCGAAACCGUAUCGAAACCGUACCAAACCAAAAUAAAAAAUACUGAACCGUACCGAAAUACUUUGGUACGAUAUUUGGUAUACACAAUUGAUAAACCGAAUACCGAAAUACCGAACCAAAAUUCUUAAAUAUCGAACCGAAAUACCGAAUGCACACCCCUACCAAGAACGGAUUUCGAAAGGCUAACGUCAAAAGUCGAAAGUCUAAAUCCCCAAAAACAUAGGAACAAAAAAGAAAAACUGAAAAAACUGAAAGGAGAAAAGUCCCUCUUUUUACAUUGCCAAAAACGUAUCCACAAGAGACAUCUUUACAAAAUCAAUCCCCUGGGGACUGCAUACAAAAGGAAAAAGAAAGGUUGCAUAUGACUUGGGGACUACCCUUCAUCACCACUAUCUUCGCCCUCAUUUGGGACGGGUAAAAGAGCCAGUUCCCUCUCCAAUUCGCGGGCUUCCUCAAGAUAAAUGACAGAUCGAUGCCCCGGGCUCCGAUCUCCUCCAGGGUUUCUCUCCUCGCCUCCGCCUUAGCAUGAUUAAUAGCCCGAGCUAGCUUAUGCUCGGCUGCUAUUGAUACGUCAUGAGCUAUUUUAUGUGUCGUGGCUGCGUCAUCAAGAUAAGUGGCAGCAUUUCUUUCAAUCUUGGACUUGGCCGCGACCAGGGAAGCAAACUCCUUGUGAGCAUUCUCGAGAAGAUCAUGGGAUGACGCCAACUCCUCAGUAGCUACCUCACUUUGCUUCCUCAGCCCGAGGAUCUCCACAUUCAAUUGACUAAUUUGUGAACCAUUUUGCUCGACCUGCAAAAGAAAGGUAAGUCAAUUUCUGUCAGAAUGUGGGAGCAAAGGUCGAGUAGGUCGAGAUACCUGCACAGCAAGAUCAGCCUUUUCCCAGAGCGCUCUCUCCAAAGCAGCUCAAAGCUCUCCUAAUUCUUUCUCUCCUCGGGCAGAGUGAGCCUCCAAAUCCCGCAGCAUCGAGGCAAGCUUCUUACACUCCCCUUCGCGGUAAGAAAGCUCCUCGUGGAGCCGAACGAGGUCAUGAUCAUACAUAUCCUUGCACUAUGACAUAACAGAAAAGUUGGAAAGACGAUGAAUGAUGCCCAAGACUAAAAGAAAUAUACGAAAGACAACUAUCACUUUCCGUAUGAAUCUCUCCGCCGCCUUGAAGGCUCCAGGAAUGUCAAGACCGAUACUAUCGCUAACACCGUCAAAGAUGUUGGAAAGAGAGCCUCCCCCUUGGAGAGGAAUCCCUGCUUGGACAGUGUUCUCUUCUUGAGCGUCCCUCAACUCCCCUGACGAGACCUGAAAGCACGAGAUGAAAUCAUUCAUGUCGCCGAUUUCCCCAAAAGGCAACCCUUGCUCCUAAAAAGCUCCGAGCCCCGACCCUUCAGGAUCGAUAGCAGCGGUCCCCCCAAUGGGAACUGCGCCAAACCCGGUCAUGCGAUCUGUAGCCACAUUAACACCCCCUCAAGGGUCUCUGGUCUACGGGACCGACCUGAUUCGUCCAUUCCAGACUCAGCAGCCUCCGAUCGAGGCACAUGCGAGGCUCCCGCACUUGACCUUGUCCUCUGGGCCAACUGGCAUUCAUCGUCAUCCUCGUCCUUGGCGCCGGGAUUUGCCCCUGAAGUUGAAACAGAGGUCCUAGCAGCGGCUUGAUGUUCGAGUGACCUAUAUUUCUUUAUCGUAGGAAGGUCGACAGCGGCCUUGCCUUCCCUCUUCUUGCCCUUGCCGGGCGCUGAGACCUCCGUCCGGCCACUAGGGGCGGCCUCAUCUCUAUAUUCUUGCCAAGGCCUGCACAAGCAUGAUAACCAUAAUUUGUCAGCACAGGGGACACAGAGAGAAAUGCGAAUCUAAGACAUAGGCAGCAAAGAAGCUCUGCCAUGAUUCUUGGCCACCCAUCGCUCUUUGGCCAGGUCGGUCCAACACCGAACAUGAUACGGGAAUGCGGCAUCGAACCAUCUGAUCCACCCUGGCAAGUCUGAAACCGCCUCGGGGUACCAAGCAGCGGCUGUGUGAAACGACAAAGAAAUCAUCAAUCCGGAAAAAAGGGAAGAAAAUUACCAAAUAUGGUUAAGGGAGAGUCGCUUACGUUGUGUGUUCCACCUCUCCGGGAAAGGCAUCCUCUGGGCUGGAAUGAUGUCCGAGGUCCUUACCCGGACGAACCUGCCCAUCCAUCCCUGGUCCUUCCCCUCGUUGAUGCUCGAGAAAAAUGAUUUUUAGAUCGAUUAUGGAGCCUAAUCAAACCUAGAUAAAACCGAGGGUUGUACAGCAUAAUCAAAUGGUUGAGGGUAAAAACCUCGCCCACAACCCCUUUUGUGAAAUGACGGAGCAUCAAUACUAUCCUCCAGAUAGAGAGAUAGAUCUGGCCGAGCGUCACUUGAUAUUUAUCGCAAAAAUCAAGGAUAACCGGAUCUAUUUUUUGGGGAGAAGUUUUAGAAGAUUCAGAGGACUCAGCAGGACCCAAGGUUAACGGGUAGGUAUACACAUGAUGGAAUCCGUCCUUGUAGUCCGUUAUAUUCUCGUUAGGGCCGGAAAUUUCCACCUUCACUGCCUCGCCCCAUCAGCAGUCUGUCUUCACUGUUUCGAUGUUGGUUACUACACUAAUGUAUCGGGACACAUGUUCACAUCGGUCUGAUGUGGAUGAAGUGGCAUCUACGAUAAAAUCUUUUGACUUGUCAAGCUUUGAGGGAGUGCACUGUUCCAAGGUGGGUACCGCUUUGGCUUUCUCCUUGGACGGCCGAGAUAAAGAUGCAGCUUUAUUCCACCGAGGAACCGUUCUAGAAGUCCUGGCCAUAGCAAUGGUAAAAUUUCCUCUCAGAAAGCAAGACGAAAGAGUGUAAAAGAAGAUGGGUGUGGACUCAUGAAUUUGAAGAUGCUACGAAGAUGAAGAUUAUCAAACAGUGGAUGUAUUUAUAGGAAUCGCUUGGGCAGCGGAAAGGACGAGCCAAUAGUAGUUCGUGGGUUCCUCAAUAAUCGCAUUUGACGGCGACCCUUGCAAGGUUUUCUGGGACAUGGCAUUUAAUGCUCUUAUAGGUUGACGUCACAGCAAUGAUGGUCUCAGAAUGACGGCUCAAAAUCGUUUCCUAUUACUUUGUUCCAGGAAAUGCGGAGAUUAUUUGUAUACGAUGAAAUCGGAGGGUCCAAUUCCUCGUCAUUAAGGUGUUCCGGGAAAUCAUCUCGAGAUCUCGAGGCUGCAAGAUUGCGGUCGAGUUCUCUCCCUCGAUGUCCAUUUACGCUCGACCCAACGACGAUGCCAAGGAUGGGAGUUCCCAAGGCGAGCAGAUAGCACUAGCAAAGCCUGGCGUCACAUCUGGCUGUCCCAUCUCCAUAUCUUUACAAUUAAUGUAUUUUGUACUAUGUUGGGAUUCCCCUCCUAUAUAAAGGGGAUCCUUACCAUUUUGUAAGCCCCCUGCUGUUGCUCCAACUAUUCUACACGAAAUAUACAAGAACUCUUUCUUUUCUCUCUAACAUAUUCCCUCGACACUAUUGUUAUUGCUUAUUACUUUUAUACUUGUUCUUCAUUUAUUGCUUGUUAUUGGCCAAAAAGAGCAUCAUUUAAUUACAUUCUAACUGUUAGCCCUCUCCCGAUUAUCCCUGAUAGCUCGAGCCCGAGCCCAGGCAUCGACCUCGAGGUCCCUCAUCGGUUAGUCCGAGGCCCGGAAAGCUAACCCCUCGGUCUGAUUAUAACUCUUGUUUAGUUUCAUCUUUUAUCUUCACAUAUCUAGCAUCAACUACUUUAACAACUAACAUAAAAAUAGAUCACAUAUUUUUAGAGUCUCAUCAAUAAAUUUAAUUAUUAUUACUAUUUUCACGGUAAACACGAACGAAAUCUCGAACUCCGUCUUCAAAAUAAAUAACUUAAACUAAAUAGUUUUCCAAAAUGAAUCUUGACUAUACAAGAACAAUGUUUUUUUUUUCUUAGUUCUUAUGUUUUCUGUCCGCCCCUUUUUCUUUCUUGUUACUUCCUCCCCCAAUUUUGUUCUCUUCUCUUCUUUAUAAAGAAGAAUAAUGGUGGUUAUUAAAUCUUGUGCCCAGAAUUUGGAGUGGAAACGUGGGAUUAAAAUGAAGAAGAGGAAUUGAGACGUGACUGUGUGUGCUAGUGUAAAGUGACGUGAGGGAGUGGGGAUCAUGGGGUUGGGACGUGAGUGUGUAGGUAGUGAUUAGUUAGAUUGGAAAUUUGUUAAUCUUUUGGUUUUAUUUUCGUUUUUUUUUCUUCUUCUUUUCCUUUUUGUUUUUUCUUUAAAAGAUAAAAUAUAAAGAUAAGAUAAUUAACUACGUAAUUUUUAGACUAAACUAAUAUAGGCAAACUAUUCUAUUACGCUAUAAUUUAAAUGACACCCAAAAUAUAUUAAAGCUAAGCUAACUUAUUUAUUAUAAGUCUAAUUAAAAGAAACCAUAUAUUUUUGUAAACUUUUCGUUUUCUCUUUAUAAAUAGAAAUAAAAUUUAUACUAUAAGCAUGUGAAUAUUUUUUGUAAUUUUUAGCUUUUCUCAAAUAAAACCUAUUAAAAAUAAGAUAAAAGUUUAAAAUAUCAAGAUUAGACCUAGAAAAAAUAUUUACACUAACAUAGUAUAGAAUUCGAGUAUGGUCAAAAAUUAGUUAUUCACAGCAUGCCCCUCUUUGCUUGGAAACAUGAAGAGUUUUCAGGCAAAGAAAAUGAACAUGGUGACUGAUUUUUGACCUCACUAUUAUUUAAAAAGGAAAAGAAGACAAAAGUAAGAGAUGUGACCAAGCAUUGGUUUUAGGCAGCCUACAUAUCCCAGGUUAUAAGGGAAUCAGGUCACUUGUAGUUCAAGUGAAAGAAGAGUGAUGGAGUAUGCUUAGAGGGAGAGUCGAGUGAAGUUUCGUCGAGGUUCUGAUCCGCAGUUCCUACUAUUACAUCAAAAUGAAAAGAAAAUUACAUACUCUUGAAAUCUAAGAGUUAAAAAAGAAUCCUAUCUAAAUGCCAUCUGGAGUCUUAUCUUGAUUCUUUACUUGCUUCUCCCAUUGACUUUAGACUGAAACUUGAUGCUCUCGAUGCAACAGACUAUGAAAUAUUCUUACAGGUCUGCUUCUUGAUCAGGUGAUAAGAAGAUGGAUCUUGAAAUCCUAUGUCUCUGCAUGCAUUAUGUCAAAGCUGGCUCGGUUGGUAUUGAGAUCAAACGUUCCACUUUCUCUGGCGAGAGAUGGAAUCCUAUUUUUUGCAUAUCCAAUCCAUACUUUGUAGAAAAACCUGCAAGUCAUCAGAAACAAACAAAACAGACAAAAAUUUUCUGUCCCAGUUUGCACUAGAAAAUUUUUGUGAGUUAUUGAAAACACAUUAAACUAUCUUGGCUAUUGCAGAAUAAAGAAUUGAAAAACUUUUUUUUGAAUAAUAGGGAUGCUAUACCCUAUGUUAACAACAAAAAAGGCAAUCAGGGGAUGUAGUACCCUAUGUUGAUAAUAAGAUGAGGCUCGUGGCACUCUAGGAUGUUACAAGGGAAUGCCGUACCCUAUGUUGGCAAAAAAUAAUGCAUCCAGCGGAUGUAGUACCCUAUAUUGGCAACAAGAUGAGGCUCAUGGAACUCUAAGAUGCUACUAAGGAAUGUGGUACCCUAUGUUGGUAGAAAAUAAUGUAGCCAGGGGAUGUAGUACCCUGUGUUGGCAAUAAGACGAAGCUCGCAGCACUCUAGGAUGCUACUAGGGAAUGUUGUACCAUAUGUUUGCAAUAAGAAAUGCAACCAGGG
rnacentral:lncRNA from 1 species